rnacentral:rRNA from 1 species
AACGAACGCUGGCGGCAUGCCUAACACAUGCAAGUCGAACGAAGCCUUCGGGCUUAGUGGCGCACGGGUGCGUAACGCGUGGGAAUCUGCCCUUGGGUUCGGAAUAACAGUUAGAAAUGACUGCUAAUACCGAAUGAUGUCUUCGGACCAAAGAUUUAUCGCCCAAGGAUGAGCCCGCGUCGGAUUAGCUAGUUGGUGAGGUAAAGGCUCACCAAGGCGACGAUCCGUGGCUGGUCUGAGAGGAUGAUCAGCCACACUGGGACUGAGACACGGCCCAGACUCCUACGGGAGGCAGCAGUGGGGAAUAUUGGACAAUGGGCGAAAGCCUGAUCCAGCAAUGCCGCGUGAGUGAUGAAGGCCUUAGGGUUGUAAAGCUCUUUUACCCGGGAUGAUAAUGACAGUACCGGGAGAAUAAGCCCCGGCUAACUCCGUGCCAGCAGCCGCGGU